GUCUACAGUCGUCCACACACACGGUUCAGCCGAGGUGCAUCAGCCAGGUGAGGAGUCACUGGUGAAGGGGACUGGGCUCACUGGGCAAACUGGUCGAUACAAGGCUGUACUGGGGGCUGUACUGGUUGUACUCGGGGCUGUACUGGAGGCUGUACUGGGGGCUGUACUGGUUGUACUGGGGGCUGUACUGGGGGCUGUACUGGGGGCUGUACUGGUUGUACUGGGUGCUGUACUGGGUGCUGUACUGGGAAGCCGAGGUGUUGGCAAAGCCACCGGUGUUCCAGUAAACAGGCUGCAACGUGCGUAGCCAUACAAAGUCUCCUCUGAGUGUGAGUGUGUUCUCCUCGCUACACCUCAACCUGAACUACACACACACACACACACAUGGGUGCACAAACACACGUACAAACACACACAUGUUUACACGGACACGAACACACACAGACACAUGCGUGCACACACACACAUUCAUGUGCCCACACACACACACACACACACACACACACACACACACACACACACACACACACACACACUGUGUCUAAUUCCCUCCUCCACCACCGCUUUAAUAACUUAGUAUCUCCAUCAUGCACUGGGAGGAAGAUCAUCCGUCGGGCCUGAACGACCGCCAGCUAUACCAUCCUUACAGUAUUCCGUUUGGAUUCCCGGCGAAACGCGGCCCAUUAGCAUGUAAAUCCCCUCAUAACCGCACCAUUGUGCCGCCGAUAGAGGCAGAUCUUCAUUCAUCAGCCCUAAUCUAUCUGCUCCUUGUUCCCAGCCGGAGGGGCUAGGCUCCUCUGACUCAGAUUGCGAAGCCAAAGCGCAGCUUAACCGGCACGCAACAGCCGCAAGGUGCCUCCGCAUCUCCUGCGAUCUGCGGUCAUCAUCAGCGGCGAGGGCCAACGUGGGGAACUUAGCGAACCGCAAACUAAUGAUCGCUAAACGGCGCUCAUUAGGGCCUAUGCAGCCGAUGGUUGGACAGGGAAAAAUAAAAAAGAUCAGGGAUCGCUCGGCUGAAUUGAACGAGGAGAGAAUUGCUAAGCAACAGCGUUGCACGCCACCCAGUGUUGUCAAGGUUAGACCAACUUGGAGCAAGUAAACCGAAUCCUCCUUUUGCAAGGGAAGCGACGAUUUAGGCCUGCAGGGUAAAAAGUGAGAUGCGUUCAUCUACUAGUGCAGGGAGAGCCAAAGUGGUCCAACUCAAAUGCAUGCGUAUCAUCCCGGAAUAUCCACACACACAUCGAGCAAUGCAGUAAAACAUGACGAGGGGUAAACAAUUGGAACUGCUCGAGACACAGAAACCAGAACGAGUCCUGCUGAAUCCUUAGCGACACCGCGGAGUGUUCCAGAAACACCUGUGCAGCACAACACACCACUUUGCGCUAAUGCACUUACACCAGCCACGUAAUAAAAAAAAAAACAGGCGCGUUUUGACGCGCGCACGCACACGUACGCACACAAUCACACAUGCGGGCGCGAGCACGGACGCACACGCACACACACGGACACUUUAAACACACAAAAAACACGCAUUCACGUGUAGGCUUGUGUGCCCCGAACUAACAGCGUAUAGGCGCCAGUCCUUACCGCGCGUCUCGCGGAGCGACGCGACGGCCGUUAACCACAAAUCCACUCAACAUGCGGAAAAUGAAGGAAACUGAACGUCGUCCCUCGAACCCCGAACACCCCGAACCUUACCUUCAUCACAACACUGCGUCCAGACCCGGGUUUAAUCCACUGCGGAAGGGUCGAAUCUCCUCCGCCGCUGUCCUCUACCGUCUGUCUCUCUCUCUCUCUCUCUCUCUCUCUCUCUCUCUCUCUCUCUCUCUCUCUCUCUCUCUCUCUCUC
ensembl:lncRNA